rnacentral:rRNA from 1 species
GAUGAACGCUAGCGGCAGGCCUAACACAUGCAAGUCGAGGGGUAACGUGAGUGCUUGCACUUGACGACGACCGGCGCACGGGUGCGGAACGCGUAUGGAACCUACCUUUAUCAGGGGGAUAGCCCAUGGAAACGUGGAUUAAUACCCCAUAGUAUUAUUUCAUUGCAUGAUGAUAUAAUUAAAGAAUUUCGGAUAGAGAUGGCCAUGCGUAUCAUUAGCUAGUAGGCGAGGUAACGGCUCACCUAGGCGACGAUGAUUAGGGGUCCUGAGAGGGAGAUCCCCCACACUGGUACUGAGACACGGACCAGACUCCUACGGGAGGCAGCAGUGAGGAAUAUUGGGCAAUGGAGGCAACUCUGACCCAGCCAUGCCGCGUGCAGGAAGACGGCCCUAUGGGUUGUAAACUGCUUUUAUACAGGAAGAACACCACCCACGUGUGGGUGACUGACGGUACUGUAAGAAUAAGGACCGGCUAACUCCGUG